GUGCUCGCUUCGGAAGCACAUGUACUAAAA
rnacentral:snRNA from 1 species